GAGCUGGAGCUUAGUGGUAGAGUGCUUGUCUAUCAUGCAUGAGGCCCUGGGUUGUAUCCCCAGCACUACA
rnacentral:tRNA from 1 species